rnacentral:rRNA from 1 species
CACGUAGGGUGCGAGCGUUGUCCGGAAUUAUUGGGCGUAAAGAGCUCGUAGGCGGUUUGUUGCGUCGGCUGUGAAAUCCCGAGGCUCAACCUCGGGUCUGCAGUCGAUACGAGCAAACUAGAGUGUUGCAGGGGAGACUGGAAUUCCUGGUGUAGCGGUGAAAUGCGCAGAUAUCAGGAGGAACACCGGUGGCGAAGGCGGGUCUCUGGGCAACAACUGACGCUGGAGGAGCGAAAGCGUGGGGAGCGAACAGG